rnacentral:lncRNA from 1 species
CCCAAUUAUCCCAGCUUUCCUCUUGCCCAAAUUGCUUUUCUUACUGGUUCCAUUAACAGCAACAAUAAGUCACAUCACUUCAAAUGAAGUGAGUCCAAAUCCAGCAGACUACAUGCUGCCCAGUGUAUAUUAAGUAUGACAGAGCGUUAAUGCAACCAGGUUUGGAUUGAAAAUGAAAUGCUCAAUCCAGAUGUGCUCUUUGGCCAUUCUGCGAGCAGAGCCAAAGGCUGUAGGACUCCCACCAGGGGCUGAAAUGCAGCCAGGAAAGCCAAGCGUGGGAGGCAAGAGAAGAGGAUCUGGGACAGAAGACUGAGGAAUACCAACAUUUAAGGGAUGGGCAGAGUUACCUCAAAUUUCCCUCUUCACAUUCCCUCUCAUAUUCAGCCAGUGUCCUUUUAUUUAUUUACUUUUUACUGAGGAAGAUUAGCCCUGAGAUAACAUCUCCCACCAACCCUCCUCUUUUUGCUGAGGAAGACUGGCCCUGAGCUAACAUGCAUGCCCAUCAUCCUCUACUUUAUAUGUGGGACGCCUACCACAGCAUGGCUUGCCAAGCUGAGCCGUGUCUGCACCUGGGAUCCGAACCAGCGAACCCUGGGCCGGCGAAGUGGAACGUGUGAACUUAAAUGCUACGCCACUGGGCCAGCCCCCUUUUAUUUUUUAUACUGUUUUAAAAACUGAGCAGAAAUAGAAUACUGUCAGGACAUCAUGGCUGUGAAUAAUAAACCUUGAAAAUCUACA